UAAUGGAUACUUUCAGGGAUCAUUUCUAUAGUAUCCAACUAGAGAAAUGCGCUCAAACACUGGAGACUUUCAAGAAGAGAUUGGACUGCCAUCUAUCAGA
ensembl:snoRNA U3 Small nucleolar RNA U3